rnacentral:lncRNA from 1 species
AAAACCCUAAUGCUGACUGGCUGGAAAAGUUUAGUUUAGGGUUUAAAACCCUAAUGCUGACUGAAAGGAAAAGUUCAGUUUAGGGUUUAAAACCCUAAUACUGACUGGCUGGAAAAGUUCAGUUUAGGGUUUAAAACCCUAAUGCUGACUGAAAGGAAAAGUUCAGUUUAGGGUUUAAAACCCUAAUGCUGAUUAAAGGAAAAGUUCAGUUUAGGGUUUAAAACCCUAAUGCUGACUGAAAGGAAAGAGUUCAGUUUAGGGUUUAAAACCCUAAUGCUGACUGAAAGGAAAAGUUCAGUUUAGGGUUUAAAACCCUAAUGCUGACUGGCUGGAAAAGUUCAGUUUAGGGUUUAAAACCCUAAUGCUGACUGAAAGGAAAAGUUCAGUUAGGGUUUAAAACCCUAAUGCUGACUGGCUGGAAAAGUUUAGUUUAGGGUUUAAAACCCUAAUGCUGACUAAAGGAAAAAUUCAGUUUAGGGUUUAAAACCCUAAUGCUGACUGCAUGGAAAAGUUUAGUUUAGGGUUUAAACACUAAUGCUGAUUAAAUGGAAAAGUUCAGUUUAGGGUUUAAACUCUAAUGCUGACUAAAUGGAAAAAAUUCAGUUUAGGGUUUUAAAACCCUAAUGCUGACUGAAUGGAAAAAGUUCAGUUUAGGGUUUAAAACCCUAAUGCUGACUAAAUGAAAAAGUUCAGUUUAGGGUUUAAAACCCUAAUGUUGACUGCUUGGAAAAGUUCAGUUUAGGGUUUAAAACCCUAAUGCUGACUGAAUGGAAAAGUUCAGUUUAGGGUUUAAAACCCUAAUGCUGACUGAAUGGAAAAGUUCAGUUUAGGGUUUAAUACCUUAGUGCUGACUGGUUUGGGGCAAAGUUCGAGAAUGCUAGCUG